AGGUAUCUUUAAUCUGAUCUUGAUCUUUAAACAUAUGAGUUACAUUGAAAUUGUUACAGUAAUUGCCAAAUGGUAUUUGUAUUAAGUGAGGAAAAAGGUUGAAAAUUAAAAUAUGUGAAAAAUGUGUAAACUUAAUUUGCAAAAUGUUAAACGAUGAAGUAUUAUUGAUCAUUAUUAUUAUUGAUGCCCUAACUCUGGUGUGAUUAUUGUUUACUGGUUAAAGAUGAGGAAGAUGGCAACGAACAAGAUGAACGAAAAUGGGAUUGACUGUUGGCUGUUGUUUAUUUUAAAUUGAACUAUGUUAACCCCUGCUAUGAAAACAAGACAACCCUCAAGGUUAACUGUUAGCUUGUAAACUGUAGGGAGCCAACUGCGAAAGUGAGAAAAAUGAGGAUACUUAUUUCACCUUUGAGAUGACCUUAGGUCAAGUAAAGAAAAAACAAACUAAAGGCGAAGGUAAAUUACAAGAACAAGAUACAGUUUGAUGACGGUAAUCGCUUUUUUUUCAGUUAGGCUUUCAUUGUGCCUGAGCUGGACGAAUUUUCUGGUACGCUUUUCCUGGUCAUGGAUCGAUCAAAAACAAUAUUGAUUAGCGAAGAGCAAUUAACAAGUGACAGUGACCAAAACUAAAAAACCAAAGAUAAUCCAAAUGACGGUUGACUUGAAGGCUGGUUGUUAUCCAGCUAUUGUCCAGUUCCAGUAACUUUCUCAACAUAUUGGUAAUCAUCUAAUGAUCUUAAUAUUGGCCCAUAAAAUGUUAUCCACUUCACUAGAGAAGUCGUAUUUGCAUAAUCGAGUUUUCAAUGUAUUUGAAAAGGUGAUACAAUGCUACGAGAAAACGAGCGAGCUUAUUCUACUGUUUGCAAAAUUUUCCAUGUUUAUCAUUCUGAUUUUCACAUCUGAUGUGGCGGUGAAUGGGUUGUCAUGAACAAAUUUUGUCAUUUAUAUUUAAUUUAAUAAUCACGAUAUAUCGCAUAGCUAAUUGUUCUUGAAAAAAGUUAUCAACAAGCAAAAUUAAUCUUACCUCCAGACUAACUCUGAUUGCUUGACUCAAAAUAUUUUUUCGGAUGCAGAGCUCAUUACUAAUAAGUUAUUAGAGAUUGCAAUAUUUAUUUAUUGUAAUCAGUGUACCUAGUUAGACACUUCACAGAAUCUCACGAAAGGUAAUCUUGAUCGUAUCUGAAAUUUAGUCAAAAUACAAUUUAAUGAUUGAUUUGAAAAUUUUUCAUUCUGUUGACGAAAUGUAGGUUGCGCCCAAAAAACUGUUUAAAAUUGUGCAGGAGGCGCCAUCUGAUGUUUCAAAAAAGCAAUAAAUUUGCGAAAUAAUCAGGGAAAUGGUUAAUGCUUACAGAACAAACAUUGUAAUAAACAAAUAUAAUUUGUUAUUUUUAUAUUGAA